rnacentral:lncRNA from 1 species
GCUGAGGACUCUAAUUUGCUGUAUAAGAUCAUUACCUGUCUCUCAGCUGCCACACCUCCUCUGCUCUAAGCAUGUCUUUUUGUAUGGUAUUAUCCCUAAGGUCCCAGUGGCCAGAAUGAGACUUUCCCCAGCUGACCACCCUCCUUGCCAGCACCACUCUGGGCUGUGCACUCUGUGUCUCAUGCAGUCGGUUUUCUCCGUUGCUGGGCAAUAUUUUGGGUGGUUUGGGUUUUGUUUUGUUUUGAGAAUCUGAGGCAUGUAUACAUGAUAAGAUGAUAAAUAUCUACCAUCUCCGUUCCAAUUCUCCUCUAACUCCUCCUGUAUAACGUGUCUCCCAACCUGUCUUACUUUCUUUAUGUUUAACUCACUAGUCCAGUUGGCGGGGCAGCAUUCUUAAACUUCCUAGUUCUCUAGUGAUCAGGUCAUUACUCAUAGUGUUCUUGCUCUAUUACUUCUGUAUUCUCACUACAAUGUUUUAUACAGGAGUUCUCAAACUUUGAUUUGCUUUUGAAUCAACCAAUCAUCUUAAGUGCUAAUUUUGACUCAAUAGACAGGUGGGACUAGAGAUUGGGGUUCCUGAGUGAGAGUGAAGAUGAGGGCUGUAACCAAGUCUGACGUUUGAGAUCCCUAUUCAAAGCCUUGUUCUAUUAUGCUUGGCCACUGGGGUCAGCCUUCCACCACUCUCAAAGCUUGGGGGUAACUAUUAAUAAUUUUAUUAGUUGUUUCUCUUAUAAAAACCUCCAUUAAGGCUCCUGACAUGGCAUGUGGGUUUUCUGCUGUUUUGUUCAGUCUUGCUGUUGUUCCUCCUGAGACUUAGAAAUACGACAUUGUUUUGGUGUUGGUUUUUUGGUUUUUUUCGAGACAGGGUUUCUCUGUGUAGACCUGGCAGUCCUGGAACUCACUUGUUACACCAGGCUGGGAUUGAACUCAGAAAUCCGCCUGCCUCUGCCUCCCAAGUGCUAGUAUUAAAGGCAUGCGUCACCACUGCCGGCUAAAGAAUUAAUUACUUAUUUAUUUAUGUUAUGUGUAUGAAUGCACUUCUUCAGACACACCAGAAGAGGGCAUCAUCAGAUCCCAUUACAGAUGGUUGUGAGCCACCAUGUGGUUGCUGGGAAUUGAACUCAGGACCUCUAGAAGAGCAGUUAGUACUCUUAACCUCUGAGCCAUCUCUCCAGACUGAAAUAUGCCAUUCUUUUGUUGUUGUUGGUGGUGGUGGUGGUUUUCAAGACAGGGUUUCUCUGUGUAGUCUUGGCUGUCCUGGAACUCACUUUGUAGACCAGGCUGGCCUUGAACUCAGAAAUCCACCUGCCUCUGCCUCCUGAGUGCUGGGAUUAAAGGCAUGUGCCCCCUCAGUGGUACUUAGAGUAGGUGUGCUACUUUGGAAUAACACCUCAAGUGAUACACUUAGGAUUUGUGUGCUCUUUUACUUGGAUUGCGUCUACUUGCAUUCAUUAUUGAUAUUGAAGUCAUCUCAAAUACAAAGUAGCUUAGUUAUUUGAGGGUUAUAGGUGGAGCCAAUAUAUGCUAGGCAAGUGUUCAACCACUGAGCUCUGCACCAUUGAUCUUGUUUGGAAUUUAGUUUUUCCUUUCUUUCUGUCUGUCUUGUUUGUUUUGUUUUGUUUUAAUACAGAACCUUAAAAAUAUGUUUACGUUGUCAAGAGAAAGAAACCCAGAACUCCAGCCACUCUAAAUCUUGUGAUUAAAGAAUUUUCGUUUUAAGGGGG